CAUCGCCGAGCCUUCGUCCGAGCCGCUCCCAUCCAGCUCUCAUCCGCGAACAGGGACACCCCUGUGUGCCAGGCUGCCAGCCGAGAGGUGCAUCAGGCCACAUCCGAGCCCGACCGGCCUGGCCCAGUUGUCCUCAGCAGGCCGCCAGCCUAGCCCGUGCGCCAUACUGUAGCGCGGUCCAAGCCCAAUCAGCCGCAGACCCUGUUUCAGGCCCGAUCUAGCCAUUUUUCAGCCCACUCCAGGAGCCCCUUGUGCUGCAGAUCCAGGACCACGGCUCCAGCUAGUUUCACUCGGCGCCAACUUCGUGCUCGAGACUUUACAACUUCCGGUUGACUGUAUCCACCAUCAGGUAACAGGUUGUUCUUUCUUUUGGGCUUGUUUAUCUAAUUAUGUUCUAGUUCUCUUGCAUGACGGUCCUAUUUUGAAAACUUACUUUCCUGUCAAACUGCAAAACCUAGAACAUUUACUACCACACCCAUCAUACCCACCAUUUAAAUCUAAAUAUUAAAUUAGCACACUUUGGCAACAGGAUAAUUCUCAAUAUCCGUCGAUCAGAUUACUUUAGGAUUAGAACGACUGUAAUACGUGCUUGCAACCUAAUUUCUCAUAGUGAUUAAUUUUCUACUUUAACUCUGAAAUAACCAAAGUACAAAUUAGUAAUAUUUAAUUUUAAGUUAUCUUUGUGAAAAUUUGUUGAUUUCCGAAUUUAUAGUAGAUUGCAGUAGUAGGUUGUCUUGCAUUGCAUUUGGUAAGUUAGGGUUCAUUAGUAGCAUUGCAUAUCAUAUCACCAACUAGAGUAGUCCCUGCAUGCCAACCCGUAGUGGUAGAGAGUACCUCCUCACUGACUCUCAGACCCCUUACCCACCAUGGACCCCAGCGUUCUACAAGAUAUUUUGGGACAAUUAGCUGCAUUACGAGCUGAUCGUGACGAAUUCAAACGAGAGAUCCGUGUUCUAGUGCAACACCCUAGGACUCCUGAACCGUCAACCCCAAUUGCAGCUUAUCCCGAGCUUGGUUUGACCACACCACCUAUAGCUUUUCCCCAUCCCCCUAGGAACCAACCUCCUCCUGAUCACCAGCGCGAUCUUGAUGAGCGACUACUUCGUACCGUACGAGUAGAUGUCCCCACAUUUGCUGGUCAAUUAGAGCCGAGUGUGUACCUUG
rnacentral:lncRNA from 1 species